CUUGUACUCCCUCCGUCCGAAAAUACUUGUCAUUGAAAUGGAUGUAUCUAGAUAUAUUUUAGUUCUAGACACAUCCAUUUUGAUGACAAGUAAUUCCGGACGGAGGGAGUACUUG
rnacentral:pre_miRNA from 1 species